UACGGGGGGGGCAAGCGUUGUUCGGAAUUACUGGGCGUAAAGGGUUCGUAGGCGGCUAUCUAAGUCAGACGUGAAAUCCCCAGGCUCAACCUGGGAACUGCGUCUGAUACUGGAUGGCUUGAAUUCGGGAGAGGGAUGCAGAAUUCCAGGUGUAGCGGUGAAAUGCGUAGAUAUCUGGAGGAAUACCGGUGGCGAAGGCGGCAUCCUGGACCGACAUUGACGCUGAUGAGCGAAAGCUAGGGGAGCAAACGGG
rnacentral:rRNA from 1 species